GGGUUCUCCAAGACACAGCCUUGAUUAAAUACUUUGAUUUUGGAUACUUGGAGAAGCAAUUGCAAAUGAGAUGAAUGUUUUGCAGUACUGCCCACUGUGAGCAUAUGAAAAAGUAAAAAGAUUUUUCUCAUUUGGCUCCCUUGAAGUAGCUAAUUUAUACCUGGAAAUAAUCCAGCUGUUUCAUGAAAGAUCUUAUACAGUUGAUUUCAACAACAUAGAUGGGUCUUAAAUCCUUUUUUUUUGCACAGAUCAGUUACAAAAAACCCAGAAUAUGACAAAUCCAUUAGUCCAGCAUUUCUUCUGACAAUCCUUGACUCCAUUUUAAACCAGAAUGUACUACAGUUUUGACUAGAAUGCCCUUAGAGUCUCCUUAGAUUUCUGCCGUAGACGUAUAUAGAGCCCCAAAGCACACAAUGAUAAAUGCAAAUAGAAAUGACAGUUUUUCUCAUAUGAAUUUUCCUUACUUAGAUAUUUUCCAGAAAAAAAAAACUGCCAUUCCCUUUCAUUCUUACUUCUGGUUUAAAACCAAUGUGACCAGACUGAACAGGAACGCAUUAUAAAAACCCUGGGACUGAGAAGCAGGAACAGGACAAAGGCAUCCAUUGGAUUACAAGAGGAGGAGAAAUCAGUCAUCAGGGGGCUGUGAAAGGAGCUAAACACUCUAAUUUAGAAAAAUUCCAGUUCUGGAACUACUGCAGCCAUUGACCCCGUGGACACGGGAACAGCACAAGGGAAGCCAGAGAAAUGGGAAACUGCUCGGACAGCUGCCAGGAAGCUGAAGGCCCCUGGUUCUGGUGUCAAACUGCAGCUGGCGAGAAAGCUGUUUGGUUUGAACUUUAAAAAGCAGGACGUGGCCCACGUGAAGGGUUUAUCACACUGGGCCAGGAAGAUAUCCCGCCCUACUCUCUUACACGCCGGACAGCUCAAAACAAGGCAGUGGGUCCCACACGCCGACUGGAGGGCACGUCUGUCUGAAAAACGCAGGCCAAAAGCAACUGGGCCCAUAACACCACGAGGAAACAGAAAGUAGGACCUGCACCAUCGGCAAACUUGAACCAUAGUGCUGGGGCUCCUCUUCAAGCACUGGGUCCUGUCCCCAACACUCAAAUCUGGAACGAAAGCAGUUGUGAAACACCCGUCUGGAGAGGCGGAGAGAAAGACGCAGCCGACACCUUUGGAAAGAGCGCGCCAAGAUGCAGAGGAGGAGGCGGACCUGGCCGCCUGGGCUUUCGAUGAACACGGGCCCGGGGGCCCAGAGUCUCCAGCACAAAGGAGCCCGGCCAACGCUCGUCGAACCACAGGUGUCAAAUCUGAAGUCUGCCAGCGCAACGCAUCGGCUUUCACAGGCGUGGAGCCAUGAGUCAGAUGUUUCAGACGGGAGUGAGGCAAAGUCAUUUAUUGAAAUCGACGCUGGCAGUUUCCCCACGACGGCUGAGGGUGACGCAUCAGGGAACGCGCGCCCGGGGAGUUGGCCCGCCAGGUGGCAGCUGAGCACUGGUGCGCCUUAAAACAUCGGACUCUCCUGCCGACUUUUUUACGCUCAAACAAAACCUUCUAACAGCUGGGGGCCGAGGCCUGGGUGAUGAUGCUUCCGCCCAGGCCCCUAGCAACACUCCGUCCAACACGGAGCUUUUGGAACAACCUCCUGGAAAAACUGCGGGAAACAUCUAUCGCGUCUCGGCCACCACAGGACUUGCGGAUUACUUUUCCGACUAUUCUGAGGCAUGGGCUUAAAGCUUGUUCAGGUGCUCAACGUCAGAGGCCUUAUUCAGAGAGAGAGAGGUUGAGAAAUCCCCUUUUCUGAAUCAGGAUGGUGCUCCAGAACGUCUGCCUAGUCACCACAUGAGAGAGGGAGUUCCAUAUAGAAUGCAUGAGUCAGGCCUUCCAAACGCAGACGAAGCAAGCCAUCGAAUGCUUCCCUUGCAGAAAAACAGCAGAGCUUUCCACGUACUAAUGGAUCUCCAAGAAACAUGCAUUUCUGUGAAUUAUAUUAAUGGCCUUCGCGCUGUGUUAUCGCCAUUUGUGGACAGCACUGUCCGCAAUGGCUCGUUUCCAGAAAUGUCCCAGAUGGUCAACACCCCUGAGAAUGCCCGGCAUCCUUCACAACAGAGGUUUUUCCCCUGUUUCUGAGAAUACUAAUCCUUUGCAAAGAGCUGGUUUCAAAAUGACAACCUAUACUGCCGGGAAAGCGGGCUCAUAGACCGUUGUUAGCAGAACCCCGAGUCUUGCCAUCUCGGACCCGGAAACACCUCCUCUUCCGAAACCGGCCCGGCCCGACCAGAAGAUCCUCGACGACUGGAGAGUCGCGCCCUCGGAUGAGAGUGUGAUUUCCAUAGUGAAGAGGCUGGUGCCUCACGCCCCUGCCGCGGGCAAACUGUGACGCAGUGCUGGCCGGUUUCCAAGCGCUUUUAGAUCAAGUCCUCAGCGCUAAUCGAGCAGGCUGUGGAAAAGGCAGCACGUACCCUGGUGAGCAGUUCCCCUGUGUGGGAUUUUCCAUCCCCUGAAAUAGACCUGCUCCUUGACCCAGUACAGUACAUGUGGGAGAUAUUGUCCUCUCUUUGAAAGAUUCAGAACCUACUCGAGCUCAGCUGCCUUCGUAGUUGCUGUGGACUUUGCUUUUGUGAGAAAUUCACACGUCAGGUUAUUCCAAACACCUCUUGCUUAAGUACCAAGUGUCCCUCCCAGGAAUGGCCAGCGAAGUUUGCUGCUGUUUGUUUAUUCUUAUCAAGAUGUUCUUAAAAGGCUUAUUCCUGCCCCAGAAAACAUGGACUGAAAAGGCCUCUAUUUUGAUUUGCAAUGAUUUUAAGAAAAAUGUACAUCAUGGUCCCCACUAUUUGCAGAUUUUUUGUAUUUGAUUUUGUGCGUUUAACAAAUAGCUUUCAAUGUGUCUCUCCCUUAUAGUAAGGAUGCUACCAGUGUGAUUGUUUUUACAGGAGCAGAUUCUGAGAAUAUCUCUUGCAGAUGGAAGGAGAUUGACAUUAGUUCUUGCAACCAUAGCGAAUUUAGGCCUGAUUUUCAGGAUCAUCUUUAUCAUUAAGGCUGCUCCUAUGAGAACCUCAUCCAAAAAUAAGCCAGCUCACAAGAAAAAAAAACAAAAGUUAUCUGGUCAGAGACAAAAUAUUUGCAAGAAAAUGGGCAACUCCUACAAGAAUCAGAUCAAGAGAUUGCGUGUCGUGAAUAUGUCCCAAAGAUGAAGCCACUCUGGAUUGAAGAUCUACACAAGCCCCUUGGGUACCUUCGUCGGAAGAGUCUAGGUCAAAGUGCGUGUGCCUCUUCUUCUUCAGAGGAGAUAUUCCGCAGGGCUCACACCAGUCAAGACCAUGGCAGUUGAACACACAUCAGAAGCAAACAAGAUGAGCAUUCUGCGUCUUCCACAGGGUCUCUCUUUUCCGGUCUGUCAAAACUACAGGUCUAGUCUGUCGUAAAUAUUCCGUACAUAAAUAUAUCCCCUCAUUCUUGCUUC